UCUCUUGCCGAAGGGGUUCCUCUGAGACCAGAGGAUGGCACCAAAUACAGGAGUUUGGUAGGUGCACUCCAGUACUUGACACUCACCAGGCCUGAUAUUUCUUUUGCAGUCAAUAAAGUGUGUCAAUUUCUUCAUGCACCUACUUCAGCCCAUUGGACUGCUGCCAAACGCAUCUUGAGAUAUGUAAAGCACACCUUGGGUGUUGGCCUCACUUUCAGCAAGUCACCCUCAACACUUGUUAGUGCAUUUUCUGAUUCUGACUGGGCAGGAUGUCUGGAUGACAGAAGGUCCACAGGUGGGUUUGCAGUUUUCUUUGGACCUAAUCUCAUCUCAUGGUGUGCCAAGAAACAGGCAACUGUCUCUAGGUCAAGUAUUGAGGCGGAAUAUAAGGCGUUGGCCAAUGCAACAGCCGAAAUUAUAUGGGUCAGAUCUAUGCUUAAGGAGCUUGGAAUAUAUCAUAUACAAACUCCAUGUCUUUGGUGUGACAAUCUUGGUGCCACAUAUCUUUCAGCUAAUCCGGUCUUCCAUGCAAGAACCAAG
rnacentral:rRNA from 1 species